CUACGGGGCGCAGCAGGCGCGAAACCUUUACACUGCACGACAGUGCGAUAAGGGAACUCCGAGUGCGAGGGCAUAGAGCCCUCGCUUUUGUGUACCGUAAGGUGGUACAGGAACAAGGGAUGGGCAAGACCGGUGCCAGCCGCCGCGGUAAUACCGGCAGCCCAAGUGAUGACCGAUAUUAUUGGGCCUAAAGCGUCCGUAGCUGGCCGCGCAAGUCCGUUGGGAAAUCUGCUCGCUUAACGAGCAGGCGUCCAGCGGAAACUGUUCGGGUUGGGACCGGAAGACGGGAGGGGUACGUCCGGGGUAGGAGUAAAAUCCUGUAAUCCUGGACGGACCACCGGUGGCGAAAGCGCCUCAGGAGGACGGAUCCGACAGUGAGGGACGAAAGCUAGGGUCUCGAACCGGAUUAGAUACCCGGGUAGUCCUAGCUGUAAACGAUGCCCGCUAGGUGUGGCGCAGGCUACGAGCCUGCGCUGUGCCGUAGGGAAGCCGAGAAGCGGGCCGC
rnacentral:rRNA from 1 species